UGGGGAAUCUUGCGCAAUGGGCGAAAGCCUGACGCAGCGACGCCGCGUGAGCGAUGAAGGCCUUCGGGUUGUAAAGCUCUGUGGGGAGGGAAGAAUAAGGGUUGGCUAAUAUCCAGCUCGAUGACGGUACCUCCUUAGCAAGCACCGGCUAACUCUGUGCCAGCAGCCGCGGUAAUACAGAGGGUGCAAACGUUGUUCGGAAUUACUGGGCGUAAAGCGCGUGCAGGCGGCCUUGCAAGUCGGACGUGAAAUCCCACGGCUCAACCGUGGAAGUGCAUUCGAAACUGCGAGGCUGGAGUCCUGGAGAGGAAAGUGGAAUACUCGGUGUAGAGGUGAAAUUCGUAGAUAUCGAGUGGAACACCGGUGGCGAAGGCGGCUUUCUGGACAGGUACUGACGCUGAGACGCGAAAGCGUGGGGAGCAAACAGG
rnacentral:rRNA from 1 species